UUUUUGGAGAGUUUGAUCUUGGCUCAGGACGAACGCUGGCGGCGUGCCUAAUACAUGCAAGUCGAGCGCGGGAAUCUCUUCUGAUCCCUUCGGGGUGAAGAGAGUGGAACGAGCGGCGGACGGGUGAGUAACACGUGGGCAACCUACCUAUAAGACUGGGAUAACUCGCGGAAACGUGAGCUAAUACCGGAUAAUACUUUUUAUUGCAUAGUAAGAAGUUUGAAAGGCGGCGUAAGCUGUCACUUAUAGAUGGACCCGCGGCGCAUUAGCUAGUUGGUGAGGUAAAGGCUCACCAAGGCAACGAUGCGUAGCCGACCUGAGAGGGUGAUCGGCCACACUGGGACUGAGACACGG
rnacentral:rRNA from 1 species